UACGUAGGGGGGCAAGCGUUGUCCGGAAUUACUGGGCGUAAAGCGCGCGUAGGUGGUUUGUUAAGUUGGAUGUGAAAGCCCCGGGCUCAACCUGGGAACUGCAUCCAAAACUGGCAAGCUAGAGUACGGUAGAGGGUGGUGGAAUUUCCUGUGUAGCGGUGAAAUGCGUAGAUAUAGGAAGGAACACCAGUGGCGAAGGCGACCACCUGGACUGAUACUGACACUGAGGUGCGAAAGCGGUGGGGAGCAAACA
rnacentral:rRNA from 1 species